GCUAUGAUGAAUUUAAUUGCAUUGAUCAUCUGAGGUGAUAAAUGUUAUUUGUCCUCUAAGAAGUUCUGAGCUU